AAUCAUGCCAGUACCAGAUACCGAUGAUAUUGGUCGACGGCGAUAUCUCCGUUGCUUCCAUCAAUUAUGUUGCCUACAACAAGAACCUGAAAGGUUUAAAUCCUGCUCAAAGUGGUAAGCUCCUUCAAACUACAAAGUGCAAGACAAAGGAAAUCGUUAAGCUUAUGUAAGAGAAACAGGAAGGUGGUAGAAGAGAAAAACCUGAUAAGAAGAGGAGGCAGUCCCAAAGAGAAAGUUGGCAGGAAAUGAAGAAGAAUCUGAACUUUCAUGCAGAGUUUUUGUAUCAGAUGAUGCAAAGAGAGGUAGCAAGAUCAGCUCUAAGAGAAUUAAAGCUUUACAAAGUGAAGAAAUUCCCAUGCUAGAUAAUGCAAUUCAUAUGCUGUAUCCAAAGUUAAGAAGCUAGAUGCCUUUGUAUACAAGUUUGUGCUUUCUAUGUAUAUGUGCAGGGUUGUCUAGUUUCAGGUUGAAAAAACUCUAAUAUAGAAGGAAUCAGAGAAGUUG